rnacentral:rRNA from 1 species
AUCGGCGAACGGGUGAGUAACACGUAGGCAACUUACCUUGUGAACGGGAAUAACCCGGGAAACCGGGGCUAAUGCCCGAUGUAGUCUCGGCUUCAAAAGUCCUGUCACAAGAUGGGCCUGCGUCCCAUUAGAUAGUUGGCGGGGUAACGGCCCACCAAGUCGACGAUGGGCAACUGGUCUGAGAGGACGGCCAGUCACACUGGAACUGAGACACGGUCCAGACUUCUACGGAAGGCAGCAGUGAGGAAUAUUGCUCAAUGGGCGAAAGCCUGAAGCAGCGACGCCGCGUGAGGGAUGAAAUCCGUUAGGAUGUAAACCUCUUUUGCAGGGGAAGAAUGACGGUACCCUGUGAAUAAGCACCGGCCAACUACGUGCCAGCAGCCGCGGUAAUACGUAGGGUGCGAGCGUUGUCCGGAAUCACUGGGUGUAAAGGGUCCGCAGGCGGGCAGGCAAGUCGAGGGUGAAAUCCUUUGGCUCAACCAAAGAACUGGCUCCGAAAC